UUUUCUGAUAGAACUCUUCCUCCCAGACCCACAGAACUUUUUUACUGCCGAAGCUUUGCCUGCCAGACCCAAGAACUUUGUAACUGCCGAAAACCUUUGGAUAAGACACAGUCGAUUGUGAGGUAACGGGUGUAACGUUUCAAUUUUUGCGUGUACAUGUCGAAUGCAAAGAUUAAACACACUUCACAUUUUGACACAUCUUACAAAUAAACCGUCACACGCCCUUUUGAAAAAACGAUGCACCGAAAAAUGACGCAUCGAGAAAUGUCAAACGACAAACGAAAAUGAAAAUGAGAGAGACAUUUCCGCUUAAACUCUACAUCGACAAAUGUCACAUAGAGAUAUGGAGAGGAAUAUUUCCGCUGGAAUCAGCAGUGACACAAGACCAAGAAAAGCUGAUCGUCGUCAUUUCAUGUGCCAGUGUUAAGCCGUGCGGGUGUGUCUGGAGUCUCCGUCGCCAAACAUAGUCUUGGCACAUGCGACAAAGCCAAGUGGCAUAUAAGCUGCAAAGAUUGAUAUAAAGACAGGAAGAGUUCGUUCCGUUCGGCCGGCAAAAACCUUGCGCGAGAGCAGCCUGUCAGAAAGGACGCUGAGGAGUGGUGCAAAAGCACACGGAAAGAAAACAAAUAAGGCUUCAGCACGAACCACGUGCAAGGCAAGCAGCGAGCCGAAAAAGAGUCUGAAAGAAAGGAUUGAUUUCCGGCGAGAACCGCAACCAUCAGACAAAUCGCCCCAAGGCAAGGGGCGGUUUUUUCUUGGUUUUCUUUCUCCAGAGACGGACGGCACGGAACGGGACGUUUUUCUUGGCCAAAUACCGGGUGACUCCUGCACGGGCUGAGCACGAAACAAACAACGGCACGGAUCGGAGUGAUACACUUGUCAAGCCAGCGACGAACGACGCAAAUCGAGUGGAUACAAUUGUCGUUUCAGGCGCGAAGGAAGGCGCAAAUCUAGUCGACACAUUCAUCGCGCACGCAACGGACUUCGACAGGGAUCGAGCCAACGCAUCUGGCGACCCUGAGAUAAACGACGGCUCAGAUCAACUCGGCGCGACUCACACGAACGAGCCAAGCGUUGGUACGCAGGGCGUCGGCGUGAGACAAGGAGUGGAAGCAUUCCACUACUGGAGUGAAAAGACGGGGGAUUGGCCGCCCGUAUCGAACGACUGUUUCCUGAGCCGACGGAGGCGAGCUCAGAGUCAUCGUCACGAUCCUACGAUACCGUGUGACGUCGAGUGCAGACAUGUCGAUGGUGAGUACGUUCCAUCACUGGGGAUGAAGGCGAGGAGUAAGCUGAUAGAGUGAGCGGAGAUAAGGUUCAGAUCGAAGUGGAAAAUGGUGGAGGAAUAAAGUGAAGGAGGAGUGAUUAGAGGAAGAGUGUAGAAGAUAAGAGCAUGACUUGGGGCGUGUGAAACUGUGUCACAAUAAAUUUAUGUAUGAGCAAAUUUUGUGGUUCUUUAUUGGUAUGUGGAAAUGCAA